CGGGGGCCUGGAGGGGUCUCGUGGGCGGCGAGGUUCCGUUUUUCAGACCAGAAAAAAAAAAAACCAAACAACCCUCUGCCGCCUGGGGAGAUGUCUCAGUCACUUUCCUCCAACAGGAAGCUGCCUCGUGUUGGAGCCUCCUGGGAUUGGCAGAGUUAAAAAUCCUUUAACCCAGGAUGCCUUGGGCCUUUUGUUCAGCCCUGACAAUGGAGUUAGCUGGAGGGGGCUGGGAAGGAAGCGGUCACUUGUGGUGAUGAGGACGCAUCGUGUCUAUGUCCGUGUCCUGAACAGACUUCCACUUGGCACCUGCCACCUGUAGCACUGGCUCACACUUCUCAGCAGUGUGGUGAGAACAAUGUCACAAAGGUAAACUCUCUUCCCUGAAGUUUGGAUUCUGG
rnacentral:lncRNA from 1 species